ACGAGAUGACGACGUUAGCAAGGUUACCCUUCCGGCUUGGCCUGGCAGGGUUAUGGACGCCACUGGUUAUCUUCAGGACUCUUAGUCCAAUUUGCAUCUUGUCCGUACUCGGAUGUAUCUGAUCUUCUGUAUGAUUUGGAUCUUUGUAUGUAUCUAUUUGUAUCUUGACUCGUUGGAGUCGUUGUUGUAAUAUAUGUAUCUUGUGGGCUCUAUUGUAAUCCUGUUGUAAUGUUACCGCUCGUGUUAAUUCCUCUGGCAUCACGUGUGUGAUUCUUCGCGCACGUCGUGUCGGAGGGCGUCUCUGAAUCGAUAUCAUGCGGAUUUCGGCGGGUUCGCUGGGAUCCUCAUGGUACCGGUUCCGGGGCGUCACAAGUUGGUAUCAGAGCCUCAGGUUAACGGUACCCUACUAGUCCAGCCUGUAGGAUAACCUUGCCAACGGACGUUGUGUCUAGUGUCAAAACUAUUUUCUAAAAUUCCGUUGGAUAGAUCUGAUUAGCUCUGAUUUUUCUCCUUACCUCUAUUCUUUCCCCUCUUACCUUUGCGAGUUUUGUGUCUUCUCUCUUAUCCGAUUUUCUCUGAGUCUUAGGUUUCGACGUGGGUUGGACGAUCUAUGCCUUUCACCUAAUAGGAAUGAUCUCUGAAGACCUUCCGCCAGAAGAACAUCAACGUCGGCUAACUUUUUUCUUCUCCGUUGACAUCUUCUUUGUUUUCUGUGAUCUCUCUACAAUUCUUUGUGCCUUGGCCCCGUCGAACCUUCGCAGACAACGCUUAUCAAGAUCGCCAAUCUAAAUUCCGGGAGUGGAUUGCAUGAUUCUCCUAAUUGUGUGCCGAGUAAUGCUUUGGGUGCGGGAUGGAGUAGCUACCAUACCGACUACUCUUAUCAUUGCUUUUGCUACAUUGAAAUUGGUGGAUCCAUGUGACUGUUACUCCUUCCUCUCUUUCUCCGGAGUCGUGAUCAUCGAUGUGAGCAACAACCCUUGUUGGUGGUGUCGCCCGUUUUACAUGGAGCAAGAACUCUUGUUAAUGGUGUCGAGGAGAUCGACACGUCGCCUGAAGACCCGAUAGUUCACCUCUCUCCCCCGUACCUUGGCGUGGGAUCUCGGGGCGCGAUCCCUUGUUAGUGGUGUCGAUUGUAACGGCCCAGUAUAAUACCCCUCUAUUAGUUUGUUGGUUGUUUUUUUUUGUUCGUGCAUCAUAAGCAUCAUAUGCAUCUUAUCAUGUCACCUUUGUUUUAUAAAAGUUGCAUCAAAUCUUGUUCUUCUGUUCUUGUUGGCUUUCUCCCUCUCUCUUGCUUUUCUAAUCCAAGCCCCAACCUUAAAUCUUCUUAUCCUUCUCCCCUGUGAUGUUCCAAAACUAAAACCCUAUUUAUGGUUUUGCCAAAAUUCUUAUACAAGGGUUAUAUUAAACCUUCCUCUCUCACUCUCUUAUAUUUUUUCUGAAUCCUAUUUUUUGUACCAAAACCUUUGUAAUUUGGAAAGUUGUUUUGUUUGAAAACUUGCAGAUACUUCUAAGUUUUUGUUUACAAACUCCCUCCCUAUUUUCAGAUUCAAAGACAAAAAUAUAAAAGAAAUAAAAGAAACAGUUUUAUAUGAAAGAAAAAGGGGAAAACCUAUCCUAUCUUUUUCUACCCGGAGGCCACCACAGCCCAUGAAGCCCGGCCAGGCUGCUCCUCUGCUUUCCUUCUCCCAGUCUCCCAGCAAGUGAAUGAUGGCACGGAGGAAGCCCCUUCUCCACACGCUCCUCCCACCUGCUCCUCCCCUCCACCCCCUUCAAGCAAACCCUACCCUGCUCCUCCCCCUUGACGCCGCCGCCCCAUCUUCUAUCCCCUCCACAAAAGGCUUCAGGGAAAGACAUCGAGAGAAGUUCGGAAAAUUCAGAACUUUCAGCCACUGAGUUCGCCGGAGAUAGAUCGCCGCCGCGGACCUCGCCGCCGUCGCCCACUUUUUCUAUACCGACGGUCGUCACGCGCCUCUGCUUCCUCUUCAUCGUCUACGUCGUCCUCGAGCUCGAGCACCUCGACAUCUUCGUCUUGGCAUUUGCUUCUUCCCGGAUAGGAUCAUGAAGUGGUGUUGUGAGAUACGACAAGUUCUUCUGCAGCUUUUCACAGGCGAGCCCACCCCUUCACCUAUUUUACUUUUACAUGCUCUUUUGAUCUAUUGCUAUCCUUGUGUUGCGAUUCUGUUGUGUCACGUGUCCUAUCCACCUGUUACCUAUAUGUCCGAGAUACACCUCCUCGCCCUACCUAUUGUUUGUUGUUUGCCAGCUUUGCGAGUCGUAGGCGAGUUUAGGGUCUUGUUGAUAUCUCGAGAUGUUCGGGAUAUCUUGUUGGGAGGUUAUCACAUGCUAUAUCUUUUGUUGGAGAUAA